UUCGAAUAAGCACCGGCUAACUACGUGCCAGCAGCCGCGGUAAUACGUAGGGUGCAAGCGUUAUCCGGAAUUAUUGGGCGUAAAGGGCUCGUAGGCGGUUCGUCGCGUCCGGUGUGAAAGUCCAUCGCUUAACGGUGGAUCCGCGCCGGGUACGGGCGGGCUUGAGUGCGGUAGGGGAGACUGGAAUUCCCGGUGUAACGGUGGAAUGUGUAGAUAUCGGGAAGAACACCAAUGGCGAAGGCAGGUCUCUGGGCCGUCACUGACGCUGAGGAGCGAAAGCGUGGGGAGCGAACAGGAUUAGAUACCCUGGUAGUCCACGCCGUAAACGGUGGAUGCUGGAUGUGGGGACCAUUCCACGGUCUCCGUGUCGGAGCCAACGCGUUAAGCAUCCCGCCUGGGGAGUACGGCCGCAAGGCUAAAACUCAAAGAAAUUGACGGGGGCCCGCACAAGCGGCGGAGCAUGCGGAUUAAUUCGAUGCAACGCGAAGAACCUUACCUGGGCUUGACAUGUUCCCGACAGCCCCAGAGAUGGGGCCUCCCUUCGGGGCGGGUUCACAGGUGGUGCAUGGUCGUCGUCAGCUCGUGUCGUGAGAUGUUGGGUUAAGUCCCGCAACGAGCGCAACCCUCGCCCUGUGUUGCCAGCACGUCGUGGUGGGAACUCACGGGGGACCGCCGGGGUCAACUCGGAGGAAGGUGGGGAUGACGUCAGAUCAUCAUGCCCCUUACGUCCAGGGCUUCACGCAUGCUACAAUGGCCGGUACAACGGGAUGCGACACCGCGAGGUGGAGCGGAUCCCUUAAAACCGGUCUCAGUUCGGAUUGGAGUCUGCAACCCGACUCCAUGAAGGCGGAGUCGCUAGUAAUCGCGGAUCAGCAACGCCGCGGUGAAUGCGUUCCCGGGCCUUGUACACACCGCCCGUCAAGUCAUGAAAGUGGGUAGCACCCGAAGCCGGUGGCCCAACCUUUUUGGGGGGGAGCCGUCUAAGGUGAGACUCGUGAUUGGGACUAAGUCGUAACAAGGUAGCCGUACCGGAAGGUGCGGCUG
rnacentral:rRNA from 1 species